AUUGACUGCACUAAGAAGGCUAGUACUCGGAAACACAAGGCCAUUCACAAAUAUCCACGAGGCCAUACCCGGCUGGGAUGACUUGGGGGUAAGAGAACGCUCUCUCAUUGAACGUCAAACAGAGAGAGACAGAAUAUGGGCGUUAUCUGAGUAUCGAGCACGUCAUGGUGUUCGAUGUCCGACAGCAUUUGAGUUUGCAAGAUUCUUGGAUGAUAUCGAAGAAAAAUUACGUCAACGUAUCAAGCUUCUGGAGGACCAAGUCCAGUUACUGCGCCUG